UAACACAUGCAAGUCGAACGGCAGCACAGUAAGCAGCUUGCUCUUAUGGGUGGCGAGUGGCGGACNGGUGAGGAAUACAUCGGAAUCUACUUUUUCGUGGGGGAUAACNUAGGGAAACUUACGCUAAUACCGCAUACGACCUACGGGUGAAAGCAGGGGANCUUCNGACCUUGCGCGAUUGAAUGAGCCGAUGUCGGAUUAGCUAGUUGGCGGGGUAAAGGCCCACCAAGGCGACNAUCCGUAGCUGGUCUGAGAGGAUGAUCAGCCNCACUGGAACUGAGACACNGUCCAGACUCCUACGGGAGGCANCANUGGGGAAUAUUGGACAAUGGGCGCAAGCCUGAUCCAGCCAUACCGCGUGGGUGAAGAANGCCUUCGGGUUGUAAAGCCCUUUUGUUGGGAAAGAAAUCCAGCCGGCUAAUACCUGGUUGGGAUGACGGUACCC
rnacentral:rRNA from 1 species